GAGGAUGAGGAGGGGACGGAAGAAACAGAGUAGCAAUGGGGCAAGUGGGGAUAGUGACACGCCAACAGGCCAGAGUCCGGUCGUGAACCUGUCUGAUAAGGGUCUCGAAAUGAGCUGAAUGAAUUUACCACACACCUGAACAGGAUGAGCCCAGACCUGAAAUUCACUGUUGAUCCUGAAGGAGAAAAUA